AGAGUUUGAUCCUGGCUCAGGACGAACGCUGGCGGCGUGCCUAACACAUGCAAGUCGAGCGGGGAGUGCCUUCGGGCAUUUUCAGCGGCGGACGGGUGAGUAACACGCGUGAGCAACCUUUCCUUCACAGGGGGAUAACGCAGCGAAAGCUGUGCUAAUACCGCAUGAGACCACAACACCACAUGGUGUAGGGGUCAAAGGAGCAAUCCAGUGAAGGGUGGGCUCGCGUCUGAUUAGCUAGUUGGCGGGGUAACGGCCCACCAAGGUAUCGAUCAGUAGCCGACCUGAGAGGGUGAUCGGCCACACUGGGACUGAGACACGGCCCAGACUCCUACGGGAGGCAGCAGUGGGGAAUAUUGGGCAAUGGGGGAAACCCUGACCCAGCAACGCCGCGUGAGGGAAGAAGGUUUUCGGAUCGUAAACCUCUGUCCUUAGUGAAGAGAAGAAGACGGUAGCUAAGGAGGAAGCCCCGGCUAACUACGUGCCAGCAGCCGCGGUAAUACGUAGGUGGCAAACGUUGUCCGGAAUUACUGGGCGUAAAGGGCGAGUAGGCGGCCUGUUAAGUCUGGAGUGAAAGUCCCGCUUUUAAGGUGGGAAUUGCUUCUGAAACUGGUAGACUUGAGUGCAAGAGAGGGAAGUGGAAUUCCUAGUGUAGCGGUGAAAUGCGUAGAUAUUAGGAGGAACACCAGUGGCGAAGGCGACUUCCUGGCUUGUAACUGACACUGAGGCGCGAAAGCGUGGGGAUCAAACAGGAUUAGAUACCCUGGUAGUCCACGCCGUAAACGAUGAGUGCUAGGUGUCGGGGGUAUCGACCCCCUCGGUGCCACAGCUAACGCAAUAAGCACUCCGCCUGGGGAGUACGGUCGCAAGACUGAAACUCAAAGGAAUUGACGGGAGCCCGCACAAGCGGUGGAGUAUGUGGUUUAAUUCGACGCAACGCGAAGAACCUUACCAAGGCUUGACAUUGACAUACUCGGCAAAGCUCUAGAGAUAGAGUGGAGGUUAUCCGGGAUACAGGUGGUGCAUGGUUGUCGUCAGCUCGUGUCGUGAGAUGUUGGGUUAAGUCCCGCAACGAGCGCAACCCUUAUUGUUAGUUACCAUCAUUCAGUUGGGGACUCUAGCGAGACUGCCAGUGAUAAACUGGAGGAAGGUGGGGAUGACGUCAAAUCAUCAUGCCCCUUAUGGCCUGGGCUACAAACGUGCUACAAUGGGUGAUACAAACCGUUGCAAAACCGCGAGGUGGAGCUAAACUCACAAAGUACGUCUCAGUUCAGAUUGGAGUCUGCAACUCGACUCCAUGAAGGCGGAAUCGCUAGUAAUCGCGGAUCAGCAUGCCGCGGUGAAUACGUUCUCGGGGUUUGUACACACCGCCCGUCA
rnacentral:rRNA from 1 species